UUUAAUUGCUUCUAUAGUCCUGCAACUUUAGAAGGUUGCUGCUCUUGGCCCUAAAAUGUAGGAUUCUUCCAGUAACAGGGGUCAUUCUGAGUGGAGGAGAAGAGAGCAAAUGCGCAACUUGGUAAAAGAUAAAGGGAGAAAGGAGAGAAGGGAAAUCAGGGAGCCAAGGAAACAACUGAAAAGCACGAAAAGCUUUCACAGAGCAAAGAUCUUGUCUCUCGGGUGAGGGUGGAAUCCCGCUGUCUUUUCCAGCCCUGUGCCUGGACAUCCUCGAAUCCAAAGCACAACUCCCUGCUGGCUUGCAUCCUGCCUAGAUAUAUAAAUUAUUUGGGGGAAAAAUUCCUAGAGUCAAGGUUAACAGAAAACAGCUGGGAAGCGAACCAUGAACCAUAUGUCAUGAUUUUCUCAAAGUACAGAGAGGUUUUUAAACUGUUUUUGAGAAGUCAGCAUCCCAAACCAAGCAGGAUAAAUCAAGGACUUUAUGUGAUCUCUACACACAGGAAAAUAAAUAUGAUGAAGGCCAUAACUGUGUCAGUCCAGCGAAGGGGAGGACCAAACAUUAAAAACUCCUGUCUCUACUGUAAAAGCCCCACUCUAAAUUAUGUAUGUAAUUGUGACGACUCUCCACUUCUCUUAUGCAUAGCUGGCAGAGGGGUGAUUUCAUUUUAGAGCAUAUUUGUGUUUAGAUUUCAUAAACCAGAAAGUUCAUAAUAUAAACUAUCACGGUCUUGUAUGAAGCAUAUAGUAUCGGCACAUUAGAGAAAAACUGGUUAUACUAAAGGGCCUGAGAAGAAGAAUAUCACGGGCCUUAAUAAUCAUCUAAACAUUAUUUUUUUAUGUAUAUGCGUUCUCAUUUUUUUCUUGUGUUGUUUAGCUGUGUAGUUUGCUUUCCUUAUUUAAUAGAGCAAAGAUCUUCCAAUAUAGGGGCGCUGUGUUGAAUACUCCCCCAGGGGCCUGAAAACCACACCUUCCUUUCUACAGAAGUUGUGUGUGUAUAUGCAUAGGUGUGUGCACGCGUGUGUGCCUGUGUGGGGAGAGAGAGAUAACUGAGGCUCCUCCCAUGGCCCUGCCACAGAGAGGAGCUGUGGGCAAGUGGUGGCCAGGUUGGGGGAGGGGAGGGAGGCACCAGAAGGGCGGCAGCAGUGUUUGGAGUGAAAUAAUAGUGAUGCUUGCACAACCACCCCGCGUACUAAAACCCGCCAAACCGGUCUUUCUUCUCUCAUUUCAUUUUAUUCGAUUCUGAUUUUUGAGAUAAAGUGUCACUUGACAGCCCAGGCUGCUUGGAACUCUGUUCAUCCUGUCUCAGCCUCCUGGGUGCUGGGAUCCUAGGUGUGUGCCACCGUGCCCUGCAAGUUUACUCUACAGAGAUGGAGUGAGCUACACCAACACCGUGUCUCGCAGCAAUAUCCAGCCAAAUUCCAGUGAAGAUGUGCAAAGGCACUGGACACACAUCAGUCCUGGAUGCUAGAAGCAGCCUCUUAAAUGUGCGAGAAGAACUUGGGAACGGAGAAAUUUGAACUUUGGUGUUCCGAUACAUUUCCUACCAAGAGAUAAUAUUUGGCAUUUAAUGUUGUGACAAAAGCCUUAGUGGUUAGAUAAUCUGUUUCCAAAUGUGUUGCUUCACGUGUGGCCAGAGAGGAUGAGGAUGGUGCUGAGUUUCUUUAGAAAUCAUUAUGGAUCUGUUGCAAACCAUAGUUUGUACUCCUGGGCAGAGAUUCCUUCUGGUUAGGAUUACUGUCCAGAUACCUCACAGGAGGAGGCUAUGUGGUGAAGGAGGACUAUGUGGUUGGGGGCCAUCAAUGUUGACUGAAUAAGCCAACAAAUAGAAUAAACAAACGGGUCGUAUAAAAUGAGCCUCUAUGUGAUGCAAGACAGAGUUAUAGGCACAAAGACACAUAGAAAGAUUUGUAGAAUGUAGUGCUUGCCCCAAAGAGCUUACCAUGGCAAGUAAGACAGGGAGACAGUUAAUCCUGAUACAAAGCAGAAUAUAGUAAGUUGUCAAGGACCAGAUUUACGAACCACAGAGAAAUUACUUCCACCUGGACAGCUGCAAUGUCAUGAAAAAUAAGAAGAGCAAAGUAAAAAUUUGCAAACUUUCCUUCAAGACUGUGUAAGAGAGGCCUUCAGGUGACUUCAAGUGAUUUCCAGGCACUAAUGAAGACAAGAAAAUGUCUCUGGCUCUAUCAAUGCCUGGAUUAAAAAAAAAUACUAAGGUUCUUAAUGAUCUUGGACAUUAUAAGCCUCAGAUUCUCUAGAGUCAUCCAAAUUUUCAAAUUUCUUUUUUCUUUUUUGUGUGCAUCAGGGGUUGAACCCAGGGCCUUUGCAUGCAGGUAUAUCUCUGGCCCUUUUUGAUUUGGAGACAGGUUGUCACUAGAUUGCCCGGGUUUUUCUCAAACUUUCAAUCUCCUGAAAACACGAUUUCAGAAGCUUCUAAGAUGAGUACUACACUCUGGGUAGGAAGCGGAGGCAGGAGGAUCACCAUUUGAACUCAGCCUGUACGACUUAGAAAUCUCACAAAACCCUGCUGUUUCAAAAUUUUAAAAGUGCCAAGACUGUAAUUCAGUGCAAAGGGCCUGGGUUCAGUCCUCGGUCCUGGAGACAAGCAAACGCAGCACACAGGGGCAUCAUCGACCUUGUGGAACUGUCUGCACGGCGCAGCAGCUUGACCAGAAACAGGAGGCCGCUGCUCCAACUCCUCUGCACAGAUUUCUGUCUGACAGCAAAGUUUAGUGCGCUAGAAAAAUAGCAUUUGGUGAAGCCUUAGAUACAAAAAACAUUAAAAAGCUGGGCUUAGAGCCACAUACCUGGAAUCCCAGCACUUGGGAGGCUGAGGCAGGAGGAUUGUCACCAGUUCGAGGCCAGCCUGAACUAUAUAGUAAGUUUAAGGCCACCAUGGAUUACAUAGAGAGACCCUAUCUGAAAAAAAUAAAAACAGCAAAAAAAAAAAAACAUUAAAAUAUUUCCUGGACCAAAUACAUGUUUUUACAACAGUGUGGCCAAGGCUGUCAUAAUGGCCUUAAAAUUGAUACCUGGAGAAGAUUGCACAAUUUGAAAACAGUCAGACACAGCUGGAUUUGUGCAGCCAGCCCAUUAAACUGACAUGAGCCAGCUUCAGGAUGUCUCUUUUUGUUUGAUCAGAACAGAGCACAUUAGCCAUAAUUACUGUAUCGCUUAAGACACCUUCACAGUUUUCUAUGAUUCCGUGGUACACCUCUAAAACUGCACUACCCUGAGUUAGGAACUUACAGAGGAACAAAGGCUUUGGUUGAAGCAUAUAGCAAAAAGUCUAAUCUGCGCUAAUUUUAAAAAUAAAAUGUGUGGCGCUCUGAUGACAGUGGCCUAAUUUAGGAAAAGAGAAUCAUUCACACAGGCACCGCGGAUGCUCAUCUCCCAGUGCAACCCCUCCCACUCCUAGGCCCCAGAGAAUGCUGGGAAGAGGGUCUUCCCCUCCCUGACCUCCCAGAGCUGGGCUCCAUCCCGCUCUGUCCCCCCCCCCACAGGCCACAGUGUCUCCAUGCUCCUCACCCUUCUUUCAGUGUCAAGCCAUGCAUUCUCAACUAAACCUUAAAUUUUAAGAAACCACUUCCUUGUUUGGACUCUGGGCCUGAUGAUUUAGCUCAGCAGCAUAAGGACCUGCCUGAUAAACACAAGGUCCUGAGUUCAAUUCCUGAUACUCCCCCCACGAAAAAACUCUGGAUUCAUUCUAGACCCUGUUGAGAGUUUAAUUUUCAUGCACCAGCAAGUUUCCCAAAGUCCAGCACACGUUUGGCUCUGUAGGAAAUGACAGAAACACUUAAGACUGCAAACCAGCAAGCCAGCAGCGCAGACCAUGAGCAUCAUGGGGUGUUGUCUUCUUCCAAAGGAAACCUUGGCUUUCCAACAGUAGGUGGUAGGCAUGCCUCAAACAGGAAAGGACUUGCAUUAUCACCCACGAAUGAUGGCACUGACGUGGCUCCUGCCCUCCAAGGAGGCAGGCGACAGGGACAUACCUUCCUCUUAGGGGUGUGAGAAGUUCCUGGAGUGGAGCUCCAGCAGGUGCUGCAGCAAACUCUGAGGCUGUGCAAGGAACAGUCGCUUGCACGCCAAGCUCUAAUGCUGCACAGAGAAUCAGGCUGAACACUGAUCCUUCCACAUGCUCUCUGCCGUGAAAAUAAUGUUUCAAUUGUGUGGCCCCAGAACACCCUUUCUCUUUAAGAAGGUCUAAGUCACUCAGAAGCGCUCUCUGUCCCUCCCCUUCUCGCUCCACCCCAUUAAUAGUACGGACUUGCAGCUACCUCAAAGUGUUGCUGGAAGGAUUCAUAAAUAUAUUCAGUGCUUUGAAGAUGAAAAGCGAUCCAUAAAUGCUUAAGUAUUACUAUAAAGUUCAAUAAAUGGCUCAGAGCAUGUGAUCAAGACGGAAUGCAUGUGAAUACUCAAUCCACGGAGAGCCCAACAGCUAAAGAAGCUUCAGCUGAGACUCAUAACCCACAGAGCACUGAGCCUUUAAUAUCACCGGAUGUGUUAGAGCAAUCCACGCACGUCUCUCAUUUUACAGACAGAGGAGGAGCUCACAUGCGGCCAGUCCAGGAGCAUUCAGAGGGACAGACACCAGGGACCUGGAGCCUCCCCUCUUCAGGGCUAACUCUGCCCCCACGCUCACAUCUAUGUUCAAGGUGUCAGACUGGGCAUGAAGAGGUGCGCCUGUACCCCAGCACUCAACAGGUAGAGGCAGGAGCAUGGGGAGUUCCAGGCCAGCCUAGGCUACAGGAAGAGAGCUUGUCUCAAAACUAAUUAAAUAAAUACUGUUAAAAAGCUA